rnacentral:rRNA from 1 species
UACGUAGGGUGCGAGCGUUGUCCGGAAUUACUGGGCGUAAAGAGCUCGUAGGUGGUUUGUCGCGUUGUCCGUGAAAACUCACAACUCAAUUGUGGGCGUGCGGGCGAUACGGGCAGACUGGAGUACUGCAGGGGAGACUGGAAUUCCUGGUGUAGCGGUGGAAUGCGCAGAUAUCUGGAGGAACACCGGUGGCGAAGGCGGCAUUCUGGACUGCAACUGACACUGAUGAACGAAAGCCAGGGGAGCAAACGGG